rnacentral:tRNA from 1 species
ACUUUAGUAGUGUAACGGUUAGCACACUCGGCGCGUAUUCGUGAGGUACGGGUUCGAGUCCCGGCGAGGGUU